AACAUUUCCACCUCCCAGUUGCUCAUGAACGCAGCUUCCAAAACGGAGAGGUUUGUUUCAGGUAUGUGCUGUUAUAACCAGGAUUCAUAACCCAGAUGCAUUUUUCUACACACUGGUAGACACACAGGCACUAAAAGUAUUGGGACAAUUGGCAUCACAGGCAUUUCUUGUUUCUUGGUCAG